GACGAACGCUGGCGGCGUGCUUAACACAUGCAAGUCGAACGGAAAGGCCCUGCUUUUGUGGGGUGCUCGAGUUGCGAACGGGUGAGUAACACGUGAGUAACCUGCCCUUGACUUUGGGAUAACUUCAGGAAACUGGGGCUAAUACCGGAUAGGAGCUCCUGCUGCAUGGUGGGGGUUGGAAAGUUUCGGCGGUUGGGGAUGGACUCGCGGCUUAUCAGCUUGUUGGUGGGGUAGUGGCUUACCAAGGCUUUGACGGGUAGCCGGCCUGAGAGGGUGACCGGCCACAUUGGGACUGGGAUACGGCCCAGACUCCUACGGGAGGCAGCAGUGGAGAAUAUUGCACAAUGGGCGGAGGCCUGAUGCAGCAACGCCGCGUGCGGGAUGACGGCCUGCGGGUUGUAAACCGCUUUCGCCUGUGACGAAGCGUGAGUGACGGUAAUGGGUAAAGAAGCACCGGCUAACUACGUG
rnacentral:rRNA from 1 species